rnacentral:rRNA from 1 species
UACGUAGGGGGCGAGCGUUGUCCGGAAUGAUUGGGCGUAAAGCGCGCGCAGGCGGUCCUUUAAGUCUGAUGUGAAAGCCCGCGGCUUAACCGCGGAAGGUCAUUGGAAACUGGGGGACUUGAGGCUAGGAGAGGGAAGUGGAAUUCCUGGUGUAGCGGUGAAAUGCGUAGAGAUCAGGAGGAAUACCGAUGGCGAAGGCAGCUUCCUGGCCUAGAACUGACGCUGAGGCGCGAAAGCGUGGGGAGCAAACAGG